CCUACGGGGGGCUGCAGUGGGGAAUAUUGCACAAUGGGCGCAAGCCUGAUGCAGCCAUGCCGCGUGUGUGAAGAAGGCCUUCGGGUUGUAAAGCACUUUCAGCGGGGAGGAAGGCGGUGAGGUUAAUAACCUCAUCGAUUGACGUUACCCGCAGAAGAAGCACCGGCUAACUCCGUGCCAGCAGCCGCGGUAAUACGGAGGGUGCAAGCGUUAAUCGGAAUUACUGGGCGUAAAGCGCACGCAGGCGGUCUGUCAAGUCGGAUGUGAAAUCCCCGGGCUCAACCGGGGAACUGCAUUCGAAACUGGCAGGCUAGAGUCUUGUAGAGGGGGGUAGAAUUCCAGGUGUAGCGGUGAAAUGCGUAGAGAUCUGGAGGAAUACCGGUGGCGAAGGCGGCCCCCUGGACAAAGACUGGCGCUCAGGUGCGAAAGCGUGGGGAGCAAACAGAAUUAGAUACCCCAGUAGUC
rnacentral:rRNA from 1 species